ensembl:lncRNA
AGGAUUCUCAAUUCCCUAGGUAAAAAAAAUGACGUAGACAAGACGACUAAACAACCGGGAGGGACCUUGGUCUUAUCGUUAUCUCGAGGGGGGGGGGGGGGGGGGGGAGUUUGACCCAGCCACCCUUAUAACUGGCUCUCUUCAUGGUUCUCUAAAAAUUAAGGCUUUCCUUGCGAGACGAGAAUCUUCACCAUCUGAAUCAUGAGUGCCGGUGCCCGUCGUCAGUCCCUUCUCUCUCCGUUACUGGACCUGGAUCUGGAUCUGGACCUCCCUUAUGUUUAUUUUAUGCCAUUUUUUAUCCACAACAAUGAUGCUAAGUGUCUCUGGUGACCUAAACUUCAGUAGUUUGCUAUGCUAUCUCGAUGACCUCCUGGUGUUUGCUCCAUCCGAGCAAGAGGCCCUCAGUAGAACGGAGGUCGUUUUUCAGAGGCUGAGAGAGCACAACCUGAAGUUGAGCCAAAAACAUGCCAUCUGUUGCUGCGGUCUGUGAAAUUCCUCUGACACAUUAUUGAUGGUGACGAGGUAGUGGUUGAUGCAGAGAAAGUAGAAGUUAUUGUGAAAAUGACAAAGAGGGACUUAAUGGAGGAUGACGGCUGCACACCUUCAGUUCGGAGGGUAAAGGUUUUGGGGAUGGUGUUGUACUAUCAGCACUUCAUACCCAACUGUUCCUCCAUAGCAAAGCCUCUUUUUGCCCUUACAACUGGUCAAAAAUGGAGGGGGAAGGUGGGAAAGUUAAAUCAGAAACUCGGUGUCUUCAGAAGGCUCAAGCCCACAGACUGGACUGAUGACUGUGACUCUGCUUUCCUCACACUGAAGGAGAAGCUUCUGAACUGUGCAGUCACAACUCACCCAGACUUCUCCAAACCCCUUAUCCUAUCCAUCGAUGCUUCUCUUGAUGGCCUUGGAGCAGUUUUGUUCCAUAUAUCGGAAGAUGAAACCAAAGCAUGUCUGAUUGCCUUUGUGCCCAUCGUCAGUCCUUCCUCUCCCCUUUACUGGAUCUGGGACAUUUCACAAAAUUGGCCCAUGCAUUCCCCUGUGUCAACCAGACUGCAAAACAAGUUGCUAAGACACUGUGGGACAAUGUAUUCAGCAUAUAUGGUUUUCUAAAUUGAAUACAUUCAGAUCAGGGAGCCAAUUUUGAGAGUAAACUCAUAGCAGAGCUCCUCAGCCUCACAGGGAUCGCGAAGUCACACACAACUGCAUACCAACCGAUGGGAAAUGGGCAAAUUGAGAGGUUUAAUAGAACGCUUGGCAAUAUGUUGCACGCCUUGCCAUUAGCAGCAAAACAACACUGGGCACAACAGAUACAAACCUUGACUUUUGCUUACAAUGCCACAGUUCAUGAAACUACUGGAUACGCCCCAUUCUUUUUAAUGUAUGGUCGAGUUCCCAGACUCCCAGUGGAUGUGGACUUCAGUCAAGUCCUGAGGGACCCAGUCAUGAUUGACUACAAGACCUACGCUGGGAAAUUGAUGGCAAACCUCCAUGAAGCCGCUCGCAUUGCUCAGCAACAUGAAAGGAAAGAGCAGCAGCAGUCAAACUGAUGGUUAGAACAAGAGAGUCCGUGGCACUUGCUUGAAUGUUGGUCACCCGCAACCCAGUGGCUCUGAUCAGCCAACACCUGAAAGAUCCCAAUUGGAUCCUGACGAUGAUAACGAGAACAAAAAAGAGAGAGAAAAAGACUUGCCUGUGAGAGAUCUGCCCAGUUCCAACGUGCUCACCGACCCACAUGAGACUUACGCUGACUUUGACACCUUAAUCAGUGUUCCUGAAUUAGAUGAGAUGGGGCCCCAUAACAGCAUUUCACCCACGACAGUGACUGAUAAUCAGAAACCUACACAAGAUUUAGGGACUGAGACACACGUAGUCAGAACACGUACAGGCAGGGUUGCUAAAGCAGUCAAUAGGUUGAUAGAGAAUAUGGUGCAAAAACCUUUCACAAGGACUGAUAUAGGUGGGUUUAUCAGAAGGACACAGUCUUUAUGUACUUUGUUCUAAACAGGGUAGAGGGAGUGUAGACAUGAGUACUGUAUUAUGUUCCUAGUUAGUACAUUCUUUUGGGGUUGUAUGAGAGAAUGUUCACAUUGGCAAGUAUAGGGUCCCAACAUCUUGUGUGGUAUAAAAGGCAUCACAGUAACUAGGAGAAGCAGUAGCCUGAUCAACUUCUGCUUUCUCUGAACUUACUUCGUGAGUAGCUUAAAAUGCUGUGUGUGGUUAUGUUGGACCAAAUGAGUGUGAACAUUGAACGUUAUAUGAUUGCUUUAUCUAUCUCGCCUUACUUUCUGCAUGUUUAGGAUUUAGGCAAAAUUAAGGAGGGGUGAAUGUAACAGAUAUAGGAAAUAGAAUUUAUUGUUUUUUUAUUUGUGUUUUUUAUGGCAUGUGUUGCGCUGUAAAAUUUAUUAAUUUCGUCAAAAUCCUUCGCGGUUAUUUAAUAGUUUUCUGUUCUAGGUGUUGGGAGUACUUUAGUUGUGUUAUAGCGCUCUUUGUUGAUUGGUAGCAGAUGUAUCGCGUUAUUUCCUGUCUCUCACCACUUGGCGUUGAAUUUGACUGAGAGAGGUAUGUACUUAAGCCGGCGUGAUUAUAAAGUUAAAAUUUUAAGCUUUAAAAGUCGUUUCAAGUGCACAACCUUGUUUAAUCAUUUAUAGUAUUAUUAGGAUAGACGGGUGUGUCGUUUUUGCUAUGUAUUUUACUUGUAAAAUGGGUUUGUGAAAGAUGCGCAAAUUAGCACAUUUUUGUCGCGUUUGUGCUAGCUGUCACCAUUUUAUCUUAUCGAGGUACACGCUUAUGUUAUCUUCUCAUAUUAGGUUUGUUGAGAAGAAAAAUCCUGUAUGACGACGUUUUGCUUUCUUUGAACUCUAAAUAGGCAUGCGCAUGUGUUUUGUACUCCCUUUACCAUGUUCAGUAAGUGUAUUAUUUUAGUCAAAUUCAUUGUAUUAGGCUACUGUGGUGCAGGACAUUUUUUAUGAUUGCUGUUGUGUUUGUGUAAUCGUUUUUUAAUGGAAUGUAUAUAUAUUUUUUGUUAUGUGCCAGUUGAUAAAUGCGCAUCAAUAUGAUCUAUAUUUCAUGUUAAUAUGUACAAAGUUAAAAAGCUAAUUGUUAUUAAUAAUAUAAUUGUAUGUCAUAAAACACAAUGUAAUGACAUUUGCUAUUUGUAAUUUUUGUAUUUUAUUAACAUGUUUUGUGUUAGUCUCACGUUGAUAGUGAGUCGGCAUUGAGUUUGACUGCGAGAGGUUUGUUGAGAAGAUAUAUCCUGUAUGAUGACGUUUUGAAUGCCUUUUAUUGUCACUAUACAUAUGUACAAUGAAAUUAAGAGCCACUCCUUUUUGUUCCGUGCAAACAUAUACAUUCAAUACACAAGAAGAAUAAACAGAUAAUACACAGAUAAAUAAACAAGAUAAAUAAACAAAAUAAAUAAACAAGAUAUACA